CCCUUAACAACAAAAAUGCCCACAGGGAUGGUUUUAAAACCCUUUAUUAUGGAAAUCCACUGCUUACACAAAAAGGGAGAGAAUGAUAUUUAUUCAGUGGGUCUUCAAUUUGAGGGUGUAUCGGAGUAGCUGAGCAGAAGCCUCUGGAGGGCUUGUUAAAACACUGAUUGCUGGGCCCUACCCCCAGAGGUUAUUUUAUUUGGGAGACCUGGGUUUGGCCCCAGCUUGAGACUUUGCAACUUGUUAGAAUUCCCAGGUGCUGCUGCUGGCUGCAGAGAUCCUUAUGUAACUCUCUCCUGGUUUCAGCGAGUGUAACACGGUCUCCAUUGUAGGGCCUCUGUCCCCUCCCCCAACUUGCUUGGCUUGGUAGAGAGUUUUGAAGCAAAUCUCAGUCAUUCUGUCAUUUUGCCCAGGUGAGUGGUUUUUAAUUCAGUGGUUAAAUAGAGAGGACUAUGAACUAUGGGAAAUAGUAGAAAAGCCUUUCAUAAGCUCCAGAAGUCCCACUGCCCUUUUGGUCAUUUCACUGGGGAGAGGAGUCUAGCACUUCUCUAUUAAAAGCCAAGCCUCUCACUCAGUCUAAGAGUGCUUGCCUAGCAUGUGUGAGUUCCUGGGUUCCAGCCCCAGAGUCUAAAUAAAUAAAUAUGGCAACGCCUUCUUGUUGGUGCCAUGGGCCGCAGUUCUCAGCUCACAUCCUCCUCCUCGGUGUGUACUAUGGCUUUGCGGUCCCUUAAAAUGUUUUUCUAAAAGAUACCUCAAAGGUUGGGAUUUUGAGCUACUUUUUGUUUUGUUUUAUUUAUUUAUUUUUUUUCAAGACAGGGUUUCUCUGUGUGUUGUAGCUGGAGUUUUCCUGCCUGGCCCACAGUCAGGGCAAAUCUCUCACCCGCCAGUCCCAAGCCGCUCAAACCCGAUCAAGUAAACACAGAGACUUAUAUUGGUUACAAACUGUAUGGCCGUGGCAGGCUUCUUGCUAACUGUUCUUACAGCUUAAAUUAAUCCAUUUCUAUUAAUCUAUACCUUGCCACGUGGCUUGUGGCUUACCGGUACUUUACAUCUUCCUUGUCCUGAUGGCGGCUGGCAGUGUCUCCCUCACCCAGCCUCUUGUUCUCUCAAUUCUCCUCUCUUAGUCCCGCCUAUACUUCCUGCCUAGCCACUGCCAAUCAGUGAUUUAUUCAUUGACCAAUCAGCAACACAUUUGACAUAUAGACCAUCCCACAUCACUUCCCCUUUUCUUUUCUUAAAAAGGAAGGUUUUAACCUUUACAUAUCUCCAAAGUCAGCUUGGUAUAUUUGGGAAUUUGGGCGUAGCUUCUCUUACUACUUCCUGCUGGAGGGGGGCGCUGUAUCUUCUGGGGAAACAAAGAAAAUUUUAGGAUCAUGGAGUAGUCCGUGAGGCUGUAUCAUCUGAGUCAGUUGUCUUGAAACGGUUCUGGAUGUUGGAUCAUCUGGGCCAUGGUGUCAUCGGAGACCUUUCAGGGGGUCUUGGCUGGUCAAACCUGAUGUAUCUUACUCUGGAACAAAUCCAUAGCCUCUGGCUUUCUGUGGAAACAAAAGAGACUCUUUUCCAAAGCAACAUAUCCUUACAUCCAAAUUUUGAAGUCAAAGUAUCUUUAAAAUAUACGUACUGGUUUAACUCAGCUUCCUUUACAAUCAAACAUCUCUCUGUAGUUAAGAAUCCCAAAGACAACACAAUCCAGACUCUCUGUGUAAUAGUCAUCUCUAUGUGGCUUAUUUUUUAUAUUAAUUUGACUGUCUCUUUAAAGACUUUAUUUUUUAAAACCAUGUAUUUGUUUCUAUACUGUAUAUAUCACCUUUUUUUGUCUCUUUCAAGCCUACGUAUAUUUUACACACAUUUUAAACUAUUACAUCUGAAUCUGUCUUAUUGUAAACCUGUUGCUUUAAAUUGCAGCCUUCUAAGCCUGAAACGGCACUGUGGCUGCUGGCUCCGCCCACUUUAGCUUCCCAACAUGGCGGUUACCGCCAGCUCUGGGAACCAUCAAGUCUCAGAAAUAGUGGGUCUACGCUUUUAUCAAAGCAGUGUGUAGCCCAGAAACCUCUUUUUUUGUUUUGUACUAACAAAGGCUAAAUCCACAAUGUAGCUUAAUGUGCCACUUGCAGAGGCCUCAUUCCCGCCAUAUGGCGGCAGGUCGAGCGCGCACGCCAGCAACCCGCCAGUAGCUCAAACCGGCAGCUGCCGCUCAUUUGAGAGAGACCAUUAGGAAGCUGUUUUUAGCUCCAUUUUAGAAUCUUUUUUUUUAGGUUUUAGGUGGAAACUCUUGCCACCACGUUGGACGCCAUUUGUAGCUGGAGUUUUCCUGCCUGGCCCACAGUCAGGGCAAAUCUCUCACCCGCCAGUCCCAAGCCGCUCAAACCCGAUCAAGUAAACACAGAGACUUAUAUUGGUUACAAACUGUAUGGCCGUGGCAGGCUUCUUGCUAACUGUUCUUACAGCUUAAAUUAAUCCAUUUCUAUUAAUCUAUACCUUGCCACGUGGCUUGUGGCUUACCGGUACUUUACAUCUUCCUUGUCCUGAUGGCGGCUGGCAGUGUCUCCCUCACCCAGCCUCUUGUUCUCUCAAUUCUCCUCUCUUAGUCCCGCCUAUACUUCCUGCCUAGCCACUGCCAAUCAGUGAUUUAUUCAUUGACCAAUCAGCAACACAUUUGACAUAUAGACCAUCCCACAUCAGUGUGUAGCUCUGGCUGUCCUGAAACUUGCUCUGUAGACCAAGCUGGCCUUGAACUCACAGAGAUCCGCCUGCCUCGGCCUCUGCUGAGAUUAAAGGUGUGUGCCACCACUGCCCUGCAAUUUCGAGCUAUGCUCAAACUCUUCCUAAGGCUGCUAGGCCCAGAUUCUGAGAGAGCACUUCUGGACUACUUCUCUGUCAUUUUUAAAAUUCAUUACCAUUGGAAAAGGGAUUUCAGCUACAGCUUCUGGGCACGGCCAUCACUGAAGCCCAGAGUAGCCUUGUACCCUGAGUAGGUCCUGGCACGGUCUGACUGUGUGUUUCUUUUGCUCCUUAAAGCCACUGAGUAACACCUUACAUUCCUCUUGUUUUGUCUUCCAAUGUGGAGCCUCGACUCAAGCUCUUUGGCUUUCCACUGGGUCACUCCCAAAAAGAUUUCUUGUCCUCCCCUCCCUGACUGAGUUAGGAUUCCUUGUCCCUCACCAGGACCUUAUCAUCUCUGUCCCCACCACCCCCAAGCUUACUCUCAGGCAAGCCUCAGCCAACUCCCAGGAGGUUAGGAGUUUACUGUUUUAUAUGACGGUGGUCCUCUCUCCUGUCCUGAUUCUCCAGGAAGCCAUACAAAUUUUCCCUUUCUCCAUCUGCUGCUAAAGAAAGCUCAGGGGACAGCGUUCACUCCUGUGCCCCAGAGCUUUGUUCUUAUUUUCAUAUGGCCUCAUGUUUGUGUGUUUUUCUUUCUGUAGCAGCCUGGAAUCAGCUGUCGCUUUCUGUUUCCUCCUGGGUCCUUCUACUUGCCUUUGCUUUUCUAGCCCUUUUCAAAGACGAUGCAGACAGCAUGUGUUUGUCCCCUUUGGGUCCUCAGGCACCUAAUUUUGUUUGGUGGCCUGUCUGUGAUGCCGGCUGAUGGAGCAGUUUUCCACGGCUGUCGCAGGGCCUGCAGACCUCGUGGUGCUGGGUUCAAGUCUGCCUUGUCUAUUCCACUGACCUGUGUGAACCUCUGCUGUGUGCUGGGCGUUGUGUGAAGGCUUGUGACACUGAGCAGCAGAUCAUGGAUGUUCCUGCCCUCGACUGGCCUCCAGGUAGCCCAUCCAUGCCUAUGGAUUUAGCCACUAAUGGAUCAAAAUAUGUGGGAAAAAUUGUAUCUGUAUUAACAUACACAGACCUCAUUACUAUUCUCUAUCUGCUAUAACUAAUUUGUCCAGCAUUUACAUUCUAUUAGGUAUUAUGGCUAAUUUAGAUGAGUUAAAGCAGGUCUUCUGAAACUUGCUUCCACCCAGGACCUCUUUUGUCCAAUAAAUUUUUAUAUGGCCCAAGUAUAGAGGUAUAUAAAACAGACAUAGAAAGCAAACCUUUUCCCGAUAGUUUAUGUGAAACCAGUCUUUGGUAUGCACGGAACUUUACCAGUUGUUUAAAGUGGAAGCAGGUUUACACACUGAUGAAAUGAGGGACUAGUUAGCUUCACAUGCAGAAUGGGAUUUCAGCUUAGUAUUUCAGACUGCAGGAUUUUGAGCACCCUCAGUAUUCUUCAAAGUUGAUUGAUACUUGGAUUUUACAGUCAUAAAUAAAAAUACUGUUUUAUAUAAAUACACUAUACAAAAAUGACAAAUAUAUUUAGUGCUAUUUCAGAAAUUAUUGGAAAAUAUGUUCUAAUCCUAAGCCAAAGUUCAUUGAGCUCUUUUUCAUGAAAUUCAAAUUAGCAAUUCAAAACAGCAAUUUUUUGUUGUUGUUGUUUUGAGACAGAAUGUGUUAUAUAGUUCUGGCUGUCCUGGAACUUGCUGUGUAGACCAGGUUAGCCUUGAACUCACAGAGAUCCACCUGCCUCUGAGAGUGCUGAGACUAAGUAAAGGUGUGCACAUCAUGUCCAGCUGUCCAAAACAGCAUAUUUAAAAAUAUAAAUUAUAGCCGGGUACUGGUGGCGCAUACCUUUAAUCCCAGCACUCGGAGGCAGAGGCAGGCGGAUCUCUGAAUUUGAGGCCAGUCUGAUCUACCAAGUGAGUUCCAGGACAGCCAAGGCUACGCAGAGAAACUCCGUCUUGAAAAAACAAAACAUAUAUAAAUUAUAAUAUAAAAUACAAAUUCUUAUAUUUAAGUAGAAGAAUAUUUAAAAAUAUUCUAAGGCAACACACACCGAAGGUAUAUUAAUUUGAUAUUUACUUACUGAGGAAUGGUAGUAGGAAAAUAUUCAAAGACUUUUUUGUAAUUAAAUAAUCGUUUCUAUAAUGGCAGAAAAUUUUUUAUGUACAUUAAAAACACCGCACAAGGUCUGCCAGUCCGUGUAUGCUUUUGGUGUUCACGGCAUGGGCAUGUGCUGUCCAUGUGUUGUAGUGUGUGCUCAGAGCCAAGGCUGGGGUGAAGACGCAGCAUCAGUGAUCACUGUCAGAAAUGCCUCAGGUUCUUUGCUUGUCUGAUUCUGAAUUGAUUUUUAUUAUUGUGUGCUCAGAAAUUUUUUACUUUUGCCAAAGUUUCCACAACUCCACAUUCAGUUUUUGUGUCUAUCUAAAGGGACACUACCCUCAGUUCAAAAAGCUGAUGCUGGAAGCAUAGGGGAAUGUGUAACAUGCAGAUUAUGUGCAAUUCUGCAUUCUACACAACGGACUUGGGCAUCGCCAGAUUCUGAUGUCCUCAGGUGGUCCCGAGGAUUCUGAUGGAUGACAGUGUCAUCAUGAAGAUUAUAGAUUCUGGUCUGAAAGACAGAUAAUAAGGGAAGGAAGCAAAAUAACGCAGUGGAGAGUGUAAAGUGCCCAGUGAAAAUCAAAAUGGAGCGGUUGAUUAGUCAUGGAAGGCUCCUGACCUAGAGGCGUUAAACAGAUGAAGGUCUGGAAGGCAAGAAGGGCAUCUUUGGGUGGAGGCAAUGCUUUACACAGUUGAUACAACCAGGCGGGAGAUUUCAUGGAGAGCUGUACACAGGGACGGUUGCUUGUCUUCUAAAAUAGCAGUUGUGAACAUCUCUGACUUAGUGUGACAUCCGAAUGUCUCCAGUGGCCUUGGUGUCUGGUUUUCUAGUUACACACUUCCUUUACUCAGCCCUAGUCUGGGGGUGAGGCCAGAGGGAGGCUUGGCUUGUUCCUCUCUGGAUGAAGCACCAUGGGCAGGGCUAGGUCGUCCUUUAUGUGUUCUAGGUUCUUGUGGCCUCAAUGACAAGCAUAAGAAGUGCUGAUUCUGAGGUUGAUCUGUUAAUGAAAGGCAGUGACAUUGGGCAUGACAGUCCCCAGGACGAAGGGGGCACACUGAGGCAAGAGCCGAAACUGGUUGUAACCACAGCAGAAAGUGUUGAUGUUCAUUAAAGUCGCUGUCCCAAUAGCAGGUGUGUGAGCCACCACGCUGCUGAGUAGGUCAGGAUCCCCGUGCUCAACAUGGAGUUGGUGCUAUUGAGCCUGCCCCGGUCUUACUGAUCAUUGGUACUUCCCAACCCUCCAGGUCUUCCCUAGGCACUGGGCUGUAGUUGGCAGAGACUCCUUCAUCCAGUCUUGUCUAGCAGUGACCGUGUUUCUUGAGUUUCUACUUUCUUCUGAGUGCUUUGGAGAAUAAGGAAAAGGUGGAUUUUUUUUUUUUACUGUUUCAUCUCUUGUGACCCUUUCCCCUAAAGUCCAGUCGCUUAACUCUGUUCUCUCUGUUGUCAUUUAAGGCUAUGCUGACAUAUUAGAGGCUCUGCACACCUGCCACUCUUCCCGAGGGCUGACAGAGGAAGCUGUUGUUCUAAAUCCAAAAGCAAACAGUAGCGCCACCAGGCAGCUGGCCUCCCAUAGCACAGGAAGAUCUCCAGAGGCAGGGAGAGGGGGAGGCAGCUACUCCACUUACCACAUGUCCCCAGCUCACUUUCACAGCAUCUUAAAUGACUGGCUGGCCGGAAGGGAGAAGCUGCUGAAGGAGAGGAUGUGGUUACUCUUCAAGACUCUAGUUCUACUACGAGACUUUUUAAAAGAUGGUUGCAAAACACAUUCACAUUAUAAUUUGAUAGAUUUAUGCCCAUUAAAACACAGUGUUCAUGAAUGGAUAGUGUGUGUGUGUGUGUUUCUCGGUAUUACUAGGUGCAAAGGGUGGGGUUACACUACACUUACAUAGUCAGUGGUUGUUUAAUGGGAUCAGUAUGGUUUACCAAGACAACUACCGUAUCACCCUGUAUUGGUGUUCUAGGGCUGCCAUACAAUGUGCCAUAGACACAUUGAAAUUUAUUUUCAUAUAGUUCUGAAGGCUGAAAGUCCAAGGUCACAGGGUCCUUGGCUUGCAGACAGCUGUCUUGUGUCUUUCCAUGGUUUUCCUUCUGUGUCUGUCCCAUGCUCCUUUUAUAAGCUUGCCAGUGAUAAUGGAUUAUGGCCCACCAAAAUGACUCUAUUGAUAUCACCUGUUUUAAAGGCCCCCCUCUCCAAAUAUGUCCUCAUUUUGAGUUAAGUAGGGGUAGGGCUUCAUAUAAAGGGGUGAGUAGCAGCACAGAUUAGCUCUUUACAGUUGUUAAGCCAUCACCACAGAGAGCAGACCUUGGGAGUUUAAAAAGUAUAAGGUUUAACCUUGAAAAACAAAAAAUUAAUGUACGUUUUCCUGAAAAGAAACAGAUAAAACACUUCAGUACAGUGUGUGUGUGUGUCACAGUCUUGCUAUGCAGCCCACGCUGGCCUCAAACUUACCAUGUAGCACAGGCUGACUUCAUACUCAUAUAGCCCAGGCUAGCCUCCCACUUGAGAUCCUCUCACAUUAACAAUCCAGUGUUGGGACAGCAGGUGUGCCACUGUGCCGGACCAUUUUAUUACUUUUCAGAAUUAGUUACACGCUUCCUUAUUCUUCAAGAUUAAGAAUAUCCAAAUAUAAAAGUAAAGUAUGUUUCACUGGUGGAGAUAAGGCCACUGAAGCUGUGUCUAGGCAUGGAGGGUGCUGCUUACUGGUGGGACAAUUUCCUGAUGUAAAAGGACUCUGGACUGGGAGGGAGGGGUGAAGUAUUUCUACUUCAUGGAUUUAUUGUUGCAUGUUCCAUCACCCUUAUCAUUAAAAAUUACAGGCACAGAUGUUCCCUUAGUAUAGACUCGUGACAGUCCCUGCACAUUAGACUAAGAAGCCUAGAUUCAGGGCAGGGCACAGAGUGAGCUGCCAAAGCCGAGGCCUGCCCAGCCUUCAUACUGGGCAGGUGAAAGCCCCUGGGGUUGGGCGUUGGCCUGGUUCCUGGAUUUAUACAGGCUGUGGAAACAGACUGGAGUUAUUAAAUGACAAUACAUGGCCUCUGAUCCUGAGUUGGGACUUUUCUGCUUUUCUCAGAGAAUACUUGAUUUUGUUUGUUUUUCUGAUCAAUCUUGAAACCAGUGCAGACUCCUCCGCAGCUUCCACCGGCUUCCUUCUCAGCUCCACCCACAACACCCACACAAACAAGAGCUGAGAAGGCAAGGGUAUUCUUGGGUCUAGCUAACUUACUUUAUCCCCUUCUCCUAGAAAACACUCUGAAGGGCCCAUUAGAAUGCUGCUGCUUUCAACAAGAGGUGUGGCUGGGCUGGCUUUUUCUGGCUCCCCACUGGAGUACCUUCAUCCAGCUGCUCCGGAAAGCACCCAACAGGGCCCUCCUGGGAAGCACUGCCCAGUGUCAGGAACAGGCCGCCUACAUGCAUGUGCAGCAUACACCACUCUGAAUUCCGACUCUGAUGUGAAUAGACAUUGUAAGUUACACCAAUGUCACCAAAGGCCAACUAGUGACUUCAUUAGUCAACUGUUUCCUUAUUGCAAUUAAAAUGAGGAUGCCCAGAUGUUUACUUAGAGUUGAGGAAGGAUGCAGUAUUGUUUGAUACGUGAGAGAGUUACUGUAUGUGUGUGUUAAAGUAAUUCCCCAGAGUUCUGAGAUAGGUGGUGUAUUUCUCAAUGACACAAGAUCCGACUUGCCAUCUGCUCUGAGAUCUCCUGGGUCUCUGGCCAGGAUUGUCUAGCAGAACUCGUGUCUUCUGCUUUCUCAUCUCAUCCCAUUUCCCAGCACACAAAACUCUCUGCUGUUGCCCAUCUUUGCUUCUUCAAAGCACACUCAUGGGACAUGAUUUCUCUUCUAGCUUAGCAAAGGUCCAGAACAUUUUCCUUUUCUCCAUUCGGAGUAGCACCAUUAGUCUCAAUUCCUUCCUUUGGUGAUUUUUUUCUUUCUGGUUUUUGGUUUUUCAAUACAGGGUUUCUCUGUGUAGUCCUGGUUGUCCUGAACUUCCUUUGAAGACCAGACUGGCUUCGAACUAACAGAGAUCCACUUGCCUAUGCCUCCCGAGUGCUGGGAUUAAAGGCGUUUGCCACUACCGCCUGGCCCUUUGGUGAUUUUUAUAAAUUGUGCUAAAAUACACACAACAUGAAAGUUUAUCAUUUUCACCAUUGUUAAGUGAACAGUUCAGUGACACUAAGUACAUUUACAGUGUGACACAACCAUCACCCCCAUCCAUUCAAAAACUUUCUCAUCAUCUCAAAUACAAAGUCUGUACACAUUAAGCAUGAACUGUCUACUCUUUGUCCCAGUUCCUAAAUGGCUCCAUUCUACUUUGUGAACUAGCCUAGUCUGGGUGCCUUAUCCAAAUGAAAACGUACAUAUUUGUGCUUCUGUGACUGGUUUAUUUCAUUUAGAAAAAGGUCUUCAAGGCUUUCCUGUUGUACAACAAUCAUUUUGUACACCAUUCAGAUAUGUUGCUCUCAUUGGUUUAAUAAAGAGCUAAAUGUCCAAUAGCUAGGCAGGAAGAGGUUAGAUGGGACUUGUGGACAGGGAGAGAGCUGGGAUGAAGAAGGGCAGAAUUGCUGAGAGACACAAAGAGAAGCAAAAUAAACAUGGCUGUGCUGAGUAAAGGUAGAACAUCGAUAAGAAAUAAGGGUUAAUUUAAGUUUUAAGAACUACUUAAGAACAAGCCUAAGCUAUCGGCUUGAGCUUUCAUAAUGAAUAAGAAGUCUCUGUGUGGUUAUUUGGGAGCUGGCUGGUUGGACAGAACUGGCUGGAGGGACAGAAAAAUCUACCUACACUUACCCAUGAUGUAUAAUGUUUGAAAAUUUCAUUCCCUAUAAAGGAAUCACAUCCAGUGUAUAUGCUAUAUUUUGCUUUUCUAUUCAUCUAUUGAUGGAUUUUCUUUUGUUUCCAUCUGUCAGAUGUUGGGUAAAAUGCUAAGAAAAUCACUUUGUAAGGUUCUCUUUGAAUCCCUUCAUUUUGUUAGUUUUGAGUAUAUUCUUAGUAGUGGGAAUGCUGGAUCAUGUAUCAUUCUAUGCUUCAUAUCUGAGUUUUUUCCCAAAUCAAACCAUUUUUGAACACCUCCUCACAGGUCAGUAUCACCAAGAGUGGAGUCAUCAUAUACUUCUUGGUUAAAGUAGGACCACUCCACUAAAGGGAGAGAGCACCAAAAGUCUUGUGGCACCAUCUCCUUCCUUGAUGAACAAGCUAGCUUGGAAAGGGUUGAGAGAUACCUGGUGCCAGACAGGAAGGACUGAAUUCCAGUCCCAAAAUUUAUCACAUUUGCCCUCUUGAAUGACUAACUAAACAUUCUAAGUGUGGUGGCUUGAAUAGGAAUGGCCCCCAUAGACUCAUGUGUUUGAAUGCUUGGCCCAUAGGGAGUGGCACUAGUAGGUGUGGCCUUGUUGGAGGAAGUGUGUCACUGUGGGACAGGGUUUGAGAUCUCAUAUGCUCAAGCUAUGCUCAGUGUGGUACACAGUCUCCUUCUGCUGCCUGUGGAUCAGGAUGUAGAACUCUCAGCUCCUUCUCCAGCACCAUGUCUGCCUGCAUGCUGCCAUGCUUCCUGCCUCAGUAAUAAUGGACUAAACCUCUGAAACUGUAAGCCAGCCCCAAUGAAAGGUUUUCCUUUCUAAGAGUUGUGUUCAUGGUGUCUCUUCACAGCAAUAAAAACCCUAACUAAGACACUAAGCAAUAAUUUCUAAUGAGGAAAGUGUUUAUUUUCCUCAUUAGAUAAACAAAAUGUGCUAUGUACACACAAUGUGACUUAGUGUCCUUUUUUAAAAAACACAAUUCUUUAUUGAUUUUUUGGGAAUUUCACAUUAUGCACCCCAAUCCUGCUCACCUUCUAGUCCCUCCAUUUCUACCCUUCACCCCUGCAGCAUGCCCCCAAAGAACCUCCCCAAAAUGAAUUAAAAACAAAACAAACAAACAAACAUAAAAUCACCUCAUUCCUCCAUCUUUCCAACAGUUCUUCAUUCAUCUUAGUGGCAUUGGGAGCUGCAGUGUGUCACAAAAUAUAUAUUUUUGUCCUAUCAGCCCCAUCUGCAAAUGCUUAUUGCAAUGAGCCAUUGGUCUGAUUCAAGGCCUCUGGCACAUCAUCAUCACAGGACCCUCUGUUGUAGAAUUUUAUUUUAAGGUGUGUUACUUUUGUUUAUGUUGCAUUCGUUUAGCUCUGUAAAGCUGUGUUACUGUGCCUGUCUAAAACACCUGAUGGUCUAAUAAAGAGCUGAAUGGCCAAUGGCAAGGCCAGAGAAAGGACAGGGAGGGCUGGCAGGCAGAGAGUAUAUGUAGAAGGAGAAAACUGAGGAUCUAGGAGCCAGAGAAGAAGGAAUACUCCAGGGGCAGCUUCCCAGCUACACAGCAAGCCACAGAGUAAAAGUAAGAUUUAUAGAAGUAAGAGAAGAGGAAAAGCCCAAAGUCAAAAGGUAGACAGGAUAAGUUAAGGAAAGUUGGCAAGAAACUAAGCCAAGCUAAGGCUGAGUAUUCAUAAGUAAUAGUAAGCCUCCAUGUGUGAUUUAUUUGGGAGCUGGGUGGUGGGCCCCCUCAAAAGAGAAAAAAACCCCAACAACAUUUUGGCAUUCCAACACGGGCCAUAUUUCCAUAGGACCUGAGAAAGCUUUAAAAGUAAAAAGAAAAGAAAAAGAUAUGGCUCCUUUAAGAG